rnacentral:misc_RNA from 1 species
GAUGAAGAACGCAGCGAAAUGCGAUAAGUAGUGUGAAUUGCAGAAUUCAGUGAAUCAUCGAAUCUUUGAACGCACCUUGCACUCCUUGGUAUUCCGAGGAGUACGCCUGUUCGAGUGUUAUGAAGCUCUCAAAACGCAAUUGGCUUAAAACCUGAUUGUUGUUUUGGAUUUGAACUUUGCCGUGUUAUAACGGCUGGUUUUAAAAGUAUUAGCUGGUACUAGAACGAAUUGGUUCUACUCAACGUGAUAAUUAUCUGAUCGUUGAGGACAUUCCUUUCACGAGGAAUGGCCAUAGUAAAUUCAAUGGACUGCUUCUAAUCUGGCUUUAAUUCUUUAUUGGAUUAACCACUUUUCAAAUCUGACCUCGAAUCAGGUGGGACUACCCGCUGAACUUAAGCAUAUCAAUAAGCGGAGGA